rnacentral:rRNA from 1 species
AGGACUUCGGUUCUAGCGGCGGACGGGUGAGUAACGCGUGGGAAUGUGCCCUUCUCUACGGAAUAGCCCUGGGAAACUGGGAGUAAUACCGUAUACGCCCUAUUGGGGAAAGAUUUAUCGGAGAAGGAUCAGCCCGCGUUGGAUUAGGUAGUUGGUGGGGUAAUGGCCUACCAAGCCGACGAUCCAUAGCUGGUUUGAGAGGAUGAUCAGCCACACUGGGACUGAGACACGGCCCAGACUCCUACGGGAGGCAGCAGUGGGGAAUCUUAGACAAUGGGGGCAACCCUGAUCUAGCCAUGCCGCGUGAGUGAUGAAGGCCUUAGGGUUGUAAAGCUCUUUCAGCUGGGAAGAUAAUGACGGUACCAGCAGAAGAAGCCCCGGCUAACUCCGUGCCAGCAGCCGCGGUAAUACGGAGGGGGCUAGCGUUGUUCGGAAUUACUGGGCGUAAAGCGCACGUAGGCGGACCGGAAAGUCAGAGGUGAAAUCCCAGGGCUCAACCUUGGAACUGCCUUUGAAACUAUCGGUCUGGAGUUCGAGAGAGGUGAGUGGAAUUCCGAGUGUAGAGGUGAAAUUCGUAGAUAUUCGGAGGAACACCAGUGGCGAAGGCGGCUCACUGGCUCGAUACUGACGCUGAGGUGCGAAAGCGUGGGGA